AUAAAAAAAAAAGUUUCAGGACAAACAAUGAGUAUCUCGUUUAUCCGCGGUCGUCCGGUAAUGGAAAUGAAUGGCGGAGCGUGGUAUAGCUAAGCCAACACAAUGAAAAUUCGCACGAUAAAAACGAUCACUAAGGAAGGGAGGGAGGGUGAAGGAUUCAGCGCUCUGAUAUCGUUUUCUAGAGGAAGCCGACACAUUUUGUCACCAUCCAUCGGCCUUAACUGUGCAGUUUUCACAUCAAGUGCUUUUUUUCCGCUUUUCACCGCUAAUUAUUAAAAUCGUUAUAUGUCUUC